rnacentral:rRNA from 1 species
AACUACGGAAAAGCUGUAGCUAAUACUUGCUUUAGCACUCUUGAUUCAUUUCCUGGAUGGGGACUUGGUAAGCCCUUUAAGAAAAAAGGUAAUAACUUAAAGGAUUAUAACCAAAAAAUGGCCCCUAAUGGAUCCCUCCCUUUUUAAUGGGGAUCAAUCCAGUUUCCGAACUAUCCACUUUUGAUGGUAAGGUAUUGGCCCAACCUGGGUAUGAAGGGGAACGGGGAAAUAAAAUUCCAUUCCCGAAAAGGAACCCGAAAAAAAACUACCCCAUCCAAAGAAAGGAACCAGGGCCUAAAUUACCCCAUUUCAAAAAAAAAAAG